GAUGAACGCUGGCGGCGUGCCUAAUACAUGCAAGUCGAGCGAACGGACGAGAAGCUUGCUUCUCUGAUGUUAGCGGCGGACGGGUGAGUAACACGUGGAUAACCUACCUAUAAGACUGGGAUAACUUCGGGAAACCGGAGCUAAUACCGGAUAAUAUUUUGAACCGCAUGGUUCAAAAGUGAAAGACGGUCUUGCUGUCACUUAUAGAUGGAUCCGCGCUGCAUUAGCUAGCUGGUAAGGUAACGGCUUACCAAGGCAACGAUGCAUAGCCGACCUGAGAGGGUGAUCGGCCACACUGGAACUGAGACACGGUCCAGACUCCUACGGGAGGCAGCAGUAGGGAAUCUUCCGCAAUGGGCGAAAGCCUGACGGAGAAACGCCGCGUGAGUGAUGAAGGUCUUCGGAUCGUAAAACUCUGUUAUUAGGGAAGAACAUAUGUGUAAGUAACUGUGCACAUCUUGACGGUACCUAAUCAGAAAGCCACGGCUAACUACGUG
rnacentral:rRNA from 1 species